GCCUACAUGCAGCUGUAUCUUGUUUUGGAGACUAUACUCUUGCAUAUGGUUUCUAGAUGGAGGCAAAUAUCAUUGCAACUGAGCUAUUUAAAUAAUAUAUUGUCACAUAAUGAUUAAUUUCUCUUUUAUUUUCAGCAUGAAAGUCUGUGGCAUAGACCCCCAUAUGGUAAAAUAAUAGGCUGAAAGAUUAGCCACCACCACCAUCUGUUACUCGUCCCUGAUUUCACUCCCUCUUUCAAGGGCUGAUUGCAAUUUAAAAAUCUUUCAUUGAAUGAGUCUAUUUUCUUUCAAGUUAUUACCUAGAUGACUUCAGUAAUUCCAUAUAGAUGGGGCCUGAAAAAGAAAUGCUGAGAGCAGUGAACUCACGUAAUACAUUUGCAUAAUGCAGCGGAGGAGAGGGUGCUGUGAUAGGAAAUUCGCAGGGCUGGCAUCUCACUUCACCCAUCAGCGUUUACAAGAGCAUAGCUCCAUUGCCUGCUUUGCAGUCACUCCAGAAAGCCACGCUGCUGCUGCUGCUGCAAGAGAAAUGAGGUCUUCAGUGUCCCAUUUCUUACCAGAGUCAUCCAUUGUGUAUAACAGGAGAACUUCUGCCAUUUGAAGGCUCAGCACUGCAGGCACAGUGGACACUGGCUGCACUGUGCAGCGCAGUGCUUUGUGAUAAACAUGCAUCAUUCUCAUGGAUCAAGGGGGCUGGUUGGAAGGAGAUGGCAAAGGUUUAGGAGUCAAUGAUCUCCAUCAGCUCUACAAACAAGCUCCACCAGAUGCCACUGAAAGAGAAGCAAUUCUAUUGACAAGUUACCCCUGGAGCAUGCUGUAAAUGGGAAGUCGUACCUCACUGAGACAUUCUGGAGAUACCUUCUUGUUUCAUUUAUUUGGCAAAAUUUAUCUCACAGAUGCAGGAAACAUACACGUUGAAGAAAACUAUUACUGUUACUUAACUCACAUAAACAGUGUUGAAGGAUAUGAUCCUUGCAGGAAAGGCCUGUGCAACCAAGACAGCUGCUAAAGAAUGAUGUCACUCAUUAAUUUCACACCGGAAAAGUAAAUAUGCUAGCAAAUGUCUUACAUGUCUGUGUUUAUUUGUGAGCAACAACUAGUUUGGAGAAUAUCUACAGCUAUGACUUAAGUCAAAACACGACAAAUGUCAACACCUUGGUUAACAAAUGCAAAGCAAAGCAAAUGGCUUUAUCCUAAAUUGAAAGUCCCUUUUUGCACGUAGGAGAAUGCUUGCAGUUUCACUUGCUGCAGAAGAAAGCCAGAAGCAUAGAGGCUGGGGAGAUCACCACAUCUCACAGUUGUUUGUCCUCCCAUCACUAACCUGCGUGGGAUACAGCUGCCUAGAUGUUUGUUUAUGAAACUCCCAGGCUUUGCUCAUCAGGCUAUGCUGCUUGAGCUAACAGCCAAGUCCUCCCCUGUGACCCAUCCCAGUGACUUGUGGAGCCUGUGGGGAGCCGGGAGAGAGAAGACUUUUCCUCCCUAUGCUGAAUAACAGCUCCAUUUUCAGCACCUCAUUAACUACUGCAGCUGCAGCAGAAUCACUUUUUUUGGGGGGGGGGAACAAACAACAAAAAAAACCCAAAACACAAACCCCAGCAGACCCCCAAACUGAACAAUAGGCUCUGCAGGGUGGUUUAGCCAGUGACUCUUCUCCCUCCUCUGCUUCCCGUGCUGAGGAGCUCUCAGGGACACAGCGGAGCAGGGCACGCCUGAGGCCGCACAGAGCUCAGUCCCCAGUGCUUUAUCCCGACACACAGGAGACCCUUCCUAGCCAUGCUGCCAGGAGGGGCAGCUGUACUGGCAGAGAAGUAGUCGCCACUUGGUAAUAUCUCUUAAAGAGAUGUAAGCAGCACCCCUAGCUUUCUUCUGAAGUACUAGGAGACACAGAUACUGUCAUAUAAGCCCAAAGCCAUCUGAAAUGUGUUUGUUUUCAGAGGGGGUAUUGUCGAUGCUGCAUCAGUUGCUGCAUCCAUUACUGAGGAGAACACAGCUCUUCAUACCUUUUUCAAACCUGUUAAAACACCCUUUUCAUCCCAAUGUUUACAGCUAACAGAGUCAGCAGAUCCAGCGAGACACCGCCUUCCCUCAUCUCUCCAAGUUUCAGUAUUAUAUCCAUCACUGAUGUCUGGGUUUUUUGAAAAUUUGAAUUUCAGAAUGGACCACAGGAUUCUGAGCGCUGUCUGUCCCACUGGCACAUGGACCAUAAUCCAUACCAGCUCAUGACAGACCUACUAGCAUAUCUAGUUUGCAUUUCAUCUGGUUUUGAAUUGUCCCUAAUCCCCUUGACCUUACUGAUCAUUACAGGCAAAGGUAGUACAACAGCACAUACUUCUCAUACUCUCCCCAAAGGCAGCCCACCUUCGACCUGCAAGCAUCAUCUUCACAGGAUGCAGAAAAUCAGGCCAUGGCUUUGUCUAUGCAGCCAUUCUGGCCAUGGCUCCUCUAUUAUUACUGUCAGUAGAAUAUUAAUUCCAGAGUUUUAAUAAGAGGGUUUUGUGAUUUCCUGGCUACUGUGCAGCUGAGGUAAAUUGGAGCUGUGAGUAAGUAAUAGCUUAAAAAGCAAAACCAACCCUAAACCUUAGAUCAAGCAAUGUCAAUGAGGCAGGGUGAUAGAACAUGAACCAUAAGCAAGUAGCCACUUCUCAGGAUAAUGAAACUAAGCGGUUUGCCUCAGAGCAGGCCAUAAUUUGGCAUGCAAGAGAAAUGAGUACAGAACUGUGAACUUUCAACCAAGCACCUGUUCAGCAAAGAAUUUGACUUUUUCUGUGUUUUGGGGGGUUUGUGUUUUGUUGGGGCUUUUUUUUGUGUGUGUGGGGGGGGGUUGGUUUUCAUUUUGUGGGGUUUGGGGUUUUUUUGUGUGGUUUUUUUGUGUGUGUGUGUGUGUUUUGUUUUUUGUUUUUGUUUUUUUGUUUUUAAAUAAAAGCUCUUGCCUGGACUGUUCGAUUUGCACUAGUAUUAUGCACACUAGCUGAAAAUCACACUGUGAAGAUAUGCUUUGAAUAGAAUACAGGAUGUGUUGGUUUAGGGAAAAUUUAGACUACACAAAAUCUCCCUUGUUUCUUUCAGUAAAUUUGCUGCAACAAGACUUUUUUCCUAAUCCUGCCAGCUGAGACUUUCCGUGUCUGCAUCCUUAAAGCUGUUGUUAUUGUAAGAAUAAAAAUCUCAUAAACCUUGUCUGAAUACAGAACUAGACAAUUCAGGGAUUUUCCUGUCACUUGUGAGCACACCUUUUUAAACAAUUGUUAAAGCAUCCAGCCACAUAUGGUGCCAAUAUAAG